AGAGUUUGAUCAUGGCUCAGAACGAACGCUGGCGGCGUGCCUAACACAUGCAAGUCGCGCGCGAACGGAGCAAUCCUAGUAGAGCGGCGCACGGGUGCGUAACACGUGGGUAAUCUGCCUGGAAGAUCGGAAUAACCUGCCGAAAGGCAAGCUAAUACCGGAUAAGCCCCCAGAGACUUCGGUCUCCGAGGGAAAAGGUGGCCUCUGUACACAAGCUACCACUUCCAGAUGAGCCCGCGGCCCAUCAGCUAGUUGGCGGGGUAACGGCCCACCAAGGCUACGACGGGUAGCUGGUCUGAGAGGACGAUCAGCCACACUGGAACUGAGACACGGUCCAGACUCCUACGGGAGGCAGCAGUGGGGAAUUUUGCACAAUGGGCGAAAGCCUGAUGCAGCAACGCCGCGUGUGUGAUGAAGGUCUUCGGAUUGUAAAGCACUUUCGGCCGGGACGAAAACCCGCUGGCCAAUAUCCAGCGGCUUGACGGUACCGGAAGAAGAAGCACCGGCUAACUCUGUGCCAGCAGCCGCGGUAAUACAGAGGGUGCGAGCGUUGUUCGGAAUUAUUGGGCGUAAAGCGCGUGUAGGCGGCAUAGUAAGUCGGGUGUGAAAGCCCUCGGCUCAACCGAGGAAGUGCGCCCGAAACUGCUUUGCUUGAGUACCGGAGAGGAUGGCGGAAUUCCCCAAGUAGAGGUGAAAUUCGUAGAUAUGGGGAGGAACACCGGCGGCGAAGGCGGCCAUCUGGACGAGUACUGACGCUGAGACGCGAAAGCGUGGGUAGCAAACAGGAUUAGAUACCCUAGUAGUCC
rnacentral:rRNA from 1 species